ensembl:lncRNA
GAGGCCCCCCCCAAAUGUUACCGCGCAGGGGGGGUGUCUGUGUGCUCCCUAUGGACAGUGGGGGGAUUACCGUGCCCGGGGUAGGGGGCAGCUGAGCCUUCCGGCUCCUGGGGUGGGGGUUAGCAGGGCCGGGGGUGCCCUCUGCCCCCCCCAGUGCUGGAGAGCAGCCCCUCCCCCCCCAUCAGGCUUCCAAAACGGGGCUCUCCCGGAGGUGCCAGCCCGCGCGGGCCCCUGGGGGCACGUGUUUCGCUAGAAGCGCCCUGUGGCUUGCCCGCAACCGCUGAGGCGGCCUCUGCCGUCCCCUGCACCCCGCCGUAGCGCGUUUCAGCCGUUAGGGGAAGUGGCUUUUCUUCAUUUGCGGCUUGCAGAGCUUUCCGGAGCGACAUGCUGCAAAACCAGCGCUGUGCUGACUCGCGCUCCUCUCUCCCUGCAGAGCCGGGCGCUCCUCUCCGCCUGCGGCUGCUUUCCGCGUCCUGCCGCAGCAGUGAGUCACGCCGCUCCACCCCAAAGGUACUGCGGGGGGGGGGGGAGUCAGACGCGUCCGCUUCCCCUCGUCGCCGCCUCCCAGCAAGCCUUCCAGCGUGGCGGGGUCUGCGGUGACCCCGGCCAUUCCUGCAGCGCUUGCCAGAGCAGCCUUGGGACGGUUUGAGGCCUCCCCCUGCCCCCCUCGGGGGGAGGCUAUAGAAAUCUCAGACACGCCUCGGCUCCGGCAGCUUCUCCCGAACUUAUUCCCAGCCCCGUGCCGACCUCCGGCGCUGUAAAUGCAGCUGCACGCUGUUGUGGGCGCGCUGGGUGGCCGAGCUGGUCUCGUGCUGCCCUCGGACAGAGCCGAGCUGGCUCUGCGAACGCAGCGAUGCUGGUUGCUCCCUUCUCCGGUGCCACUGCCGCUUUUCUCCUGAUAACAGCCGGGUUUUUUCCUCUCCAGUUCGCAGCCUCCGUCUCUGCUGGCCGCCCAGAAGGACGUACAAAGCCGCUGGAAGCGGGCAGAGCCAAGAGGAUGAGAGCGGAGUUUCCCUCUGGAUCUCGGCUGGGAUGGCAUCCCGCAGGCGGGAGGCGCCUCUCCUCCGCCUGGAAGAAGAGCGUGAGCGGAGGAGGAGGAGGAGGAGGUGAGCGAGGAUCAGCUCUUCCCACCGGAGCAGGCCCUGCCGCGGUCUCCGCACGUGGCUGCGGAGUUCUGCCACGGCCCUGAUGGGUUUCCCACUGGGCUUCGGAUCUCGGUCUCUGCGCCUCAAGAUGGAGGAAGGAGGAGCCGGAGUGUUGCUCCUCGCUUCGGAGGUAAGGCUGUUUUUUGAAGAAACGGGAAAUAAUUUGCCGUUUGAAAACAAAACCCUUCGCAACCGGGGACGUUUGUGACUGCAAAGGUUGCCACACUUCCCAUUGCGCACGGCGCGGUGGCUGUGACAACGGCCGCGCGGUGCUCGUCGGAGCCCGGGAACGUGGGUCUGGCCCUGGCUCGUGUUUUUGUGCCUCGGCUUUGCCGCGUGGGGAGGGGGGGGCCCUGCGCGCUCCUCACGGCUGGCCUGUUCUCUCCUAGCUCUUCGGCCUCGGUGAUGCCGGUGCAGCGUCGGAGGAGGCCUGACCCUGCCCUGGAGGAGCAGCACACGCUGCGGAAGGGCAGCAGGAAGCGACUCCCGGCCUUGGCGGCCUCCCGGCACCAGGGACAGGCGCUCCCAACACGGAGACGCCCUCCGACCGUCCCGCUGAGGGCUGGUGCCCCCGUUCCGCCAGGAAAAGCCCCCGUGAGCAAAGGGGAACCCUGGAGCUUCCCGUGACCGGUUUCCAGCCCAGCCCACCAGUGACAUUUUGGGAGCGAGGGGGCUCGGGGGGGUUCCCUGGAUCCUCCAAGUACGGUUGCUCUUCACGCAGUGUGACAGCUCCGCCGAGCACGGAGCACAGAGAGGGGUAACAGAUGUAUCGCCGUUUUGGGGUACAGUCAGACAUUUAAUGCUCUACAGCCGUGGCAGAUGAAUAAAUAUGGAUUCCUGGUGUCUCCUUGCGGUC